AAUUUCUCCUGGGACUCCAGGUGGAUAUUUCCAGUAGUAAAUGGAUACACAGAGUUUGAGACUAGGAAAGAGACCUUGCCAGGAGAUAUUUAGGGAAGUGUAGAUGAGACUCCUCCAUGGAGUCUGUCUGGGUGGCCUCAGAAGAGAACCAAAGACAGUUCUAAGGAGUCCUUCACCUGUAAAUACCAAGCAGAAGAAAGAGGACAAAGAGAACUUAAGGAACAGGGGUAUGAAGGGAGAGAGUUGACAGUCGGUAGAGGGAUGUCCCAGGAGCUGCAGGAAGAAAGGGUUCCAAGAAAGCAGCUGUUGAGAGAGAGAUGGAAGUCAGGAUGGGAGAGGGGGUGAGCACAGACUUUCCUCUCAGGAACGUGGCUGCGAGAGCAAUUGGUAAAACGGAUGAUUCUUGGAUGGAGGCCUUCUAUAGGCUUGUGUGCGGAAGGGGGAUAUAGGAGCUUAGUACAGAACUCAUGAGUACGUGGAUAAUUCUGAAAAGUAGCUGUUUGUCUAUGUUGUUUCAGAAGCAAAGUUGCCAGAAAGCAAUGAUUUUGGAUUUCUCUUCCCAGAUCUUUCAAUGAUGUUCUUAACUGCAAUACUGGGAGAGUUUUCCAGAUGUCCAAGUAGAGCAUUUCCUAGCCUGCUUGUAUCCUGUGGCAACAUGAAAAGGGUCACACACAGAGGAUUAAGAUGGAGGAUGAAAAAAAAAAAAAGCCCUUCAACAUCUUGACUGCUCCUUCUCUCACCAGCCAGAUCCAUUUCUGGUUAAACAUUUGCAAGAGGACAGAAGUUCUCGUCACCCAUCUGUUGGGAAGUAGCCUCACUCUAACAUCGACGUAGGUUUGCAGGAAAACAAGCCUUUGUUCAGAAAUGAACCCAGAGUAUUGUUUCUGCCUGGGUCCAAGUAGGCUCCUUCAAACUCGGUUAGCAGAACGAAUGCUUUAUCGGACCAGCAGGGCUGCCGUCCAGUGCAUUUUACAAUAAACGUGUUCAGCGUCUGGUUCUCA
rnacentral:lncRNA from 1 species